rfam:Collinsella tanakaei YIT 12063 genomic scaffold supercont1.1, whole genome shotgun sequence.
GGGCGGUUAGCUCAGGGGUAGAGCACUACCUUGACACGGUAGGGGUCACAAGUUCAAAUCUUGUAUCGCCCA